GCUUACGGCAAUACCAACCUGGCUAUGCCUGAUCUCGGAAGCUAAGCAGGUUUGGGCCUUGUUAGUACUUGGAUGGGCGACUGCCUGGGAAUACCAGGUGCUUUAAGCU
ensembl:rRNA 5S_rRNA 5S ribosomal RNA